GAGUUCCACAAGCGUGUCGGAAUGUGAGGACCCGUUCGACUACGUUGGUUCGUCUGCUUCACGGAGUAAUUCUUCUUCCAAGCGGGAUCUCAGGCAAGAUGAUCAUUUCCCCAGAUACCAUUACUAUCAUUGCCAUGCUAGUUUUACCGUUUCUAUCGUUAUGUCUCGUUGCCUACCACAUGUUAAAUAUCAGCCUUCUCAACAAUGCCAUGAUAACCUUCAACCUGUUCGACCUAGCAAACCACUGAUUGGCUAUGUUACCGCUUGCUUAACCAUGUUGUUAGCGUUGCUAGUUGCAGGUGCAGUUGCUUCCAUGUGAUAACAUGGGUUCUUGUUAUAUCACCAUAUUAAAUGCUAUUUAAUUUAAUGCACCUAUAUACUUGGUAAAAGGUGGAAGGCUCGGCCUUUCUAGCCUGGUGUUUUGUUCCACCUUUGCCCCCUUAGUUUCGGCUACCGGUGUUAUGUUCCAUAAAAGAGCGCUCCUAACACGAUCGGGGUUGUUAUGGGGACCCCCUUGAUAAUUCGUUUUAGAUUAAAGCUGGUCCGGCAAGGCCCAACAUUGGUUCUACAUUUGCCCAACAUAAUAUUUUUGUUAAUAUUUAAAUGCAUAGGGCAUCAUGAACCCGAGGAGUAAUUUUACAUAAACAGGGGGGCCGGUGCUGAUGGUGUUGGUCCCAAACGGUCUGCCUGCGGGGCCACCACGGGGAAACUCGAGGUUUGGCACCCGUAGCUAGUUCCAUCCGUCGUGUCCUGAGAACGAGAUACGCGGCUCCUAUCGGGAUCGUCGACACGUCGGGCGGCCUUGCUGGAUUAGUUUUACCUUUGAUGAGAUAUCUUGUGCAUCGGGAUUCCGGUGAUGCUUUGGGUAAUCUUAGAGUUGAGGUUUUCCACUAGGGAAUCCGACGAGAUCGCGAGCUUCGUGAUUGAGGAUUUCUAUGCGGCUUGUGGUAAUUUGUGAUGGACUAGUUGGAGCACCCCUGCAGGGUUAAAUCUUUCGGAAAGCCGUGCCCGCGGUUAUGUGGCAACGUGGAAGCUUUGUUUAACACUGGUUCUAGAUAACUUGAAGUUAACUUAAUUAAAACUUGCCAACUGUGUGCGUAACCGUGACUGUCUCUUUCGUGAGUUCCUUCUCCGAUCGAGGACACGGUGGGGUUAUGUCUGACGUAGAUAGGUGUUCAGGAUCAUUCAUUUGAUCAUCAGUAGUUCACGUCCGUUAUGCGUAGAUCUUCCCCCUCUUAUUUCCUGUACUCGUAAGUUAGCCACCAAAUAUAUGCUUAGCCGCUGCUGCAACCUCACCACUUCACCAUACCUCACCCAUUAAGCUUUGCUAGUCUUGAUACCUUUGGAAAUGAGAUUGCUGAGUCCCGUGUGGCUCACAGAUUACUACAACACCAGUUGCAGGUACAUGUAAAGGUUACUCGACGUGAGCGCGUUGAUUGUUCAUUUGGAGUUGCUUCUUCUUCUUCUUCAUCGAUCUAGGAUGGGUUCCAAGCCGGCAGCCUGGGAUAGCAAGGAUGGACGUCGUUCUUCUUUUGUCGUUUGUUUUCGUCCGUAGUCGGACCCUGCUCUUACUCUUGAUGAUUAUGUAAUGUACUGAUGUGACUCUGAUGUAGCUUGUGGCGAGUGUAAGCUAACUCUGUAUAUAUAUCUCUUCUUUUCAGUACAUGUACUUGUAACGAUAUCCAUUCUUGCGACACGACGAGAUGCGCUUCUA
rnacentral:lncRNA from 1 species